ACUCCUACGGGAGGCAGCAGUGGGGAAUAUUGGACAAUGGGGGGAACCCUGAUCCAGCCAUGCCGCGUGUGUGAAGAAGGCCUUAUGGUUGUAAAGCACUUUAAAGCGAGGGAGGAGGCUACUGAGACUAAUACUCUUGGAUAGUGGACGUUACUCGCAGAAUAAGCACCGGCUAACUCUGUGCCAGCAGCCGCGGUAAUACAG
rnacentral:rRNA from 1 species